AACAUUGUGGGCAGUGGCAAAACCAAAAAAGAAAAAGAUCAGAAAAUUCCCAUUAGGUCCCAUACUCAUUGUGCGGAAAGCCAUUCUUGCAAAAACAACAAAAUCUACUAUUCUCUCUCUUCCUCUUCCUUCUCCCUGCGACCGCCUUGAAUCUCAAUCCCUGCAACUCCUUCACUCGCAGAUUCUCCUCCUUCCUCUCCCGAUUGUUUGCGCUCCGCCGCCGCCGAAACCUGCACAAGAUCCCCGCGGCGCUUCCGCGGGAUAUCUCUAGGGUUUUCUGAUCUUUCGUUCCUUUCCUUCUUCCAGGACGUCUUUUUUCAAUUGCGUGCACUCUGUGUAGCGUCCACGAGCCGUCAUGGCUCCCGGGCGUCGACGCGGAGCAAACAAAGCGAAGGCAAAUGGCCACUUGAGUUUGGGCGAUCUUGUGCUUGCUAAGGUCAAGGGCUUCCCCGCGUGGCCUGCUAAGAUAAGCAGGCCUGAGGAUUGGGAGAAAAUCCCUGAUCCAAAGAAAUAUUUUGUUCAAUUCUUUGGUACAAAAGAAAUUGCUUUUGUUGCCCCAGCAGAUAUUCAGGCAUUUACCAGUGAGGCUAAAAAUAAGCUGUCAGCUCGUCUUCAAGGCAAGACUAAGUACUUUGCCCAAGCUGUGAAGGAAAUAUGUGCAGCAUUUGAUGAGAUGCAGAAACAGAAGGCUAGUGGUUUGACAGAUGACACUGACGAUUCUCGUAUUGGUUCAGAGGCUCCUUCCAAUGAUGGGGUAGUAGUUAACCUUAAGGAUGCAAUUGACACUAUGUUAUCAAAUGCAGAACAAGAUAACAUAGAUAUGGAGAAUAUUGGUUCUAAUCUAGAGCACUGUACACCUAGAGUAGGGCAAAAUGACAGCCAAGAUGAAGAACAUUCUGUAUCUGACCAUCCAAACGAAAGUUCUUCUGUCUCAUCACCAGUGAUCAAAAGUAAAUUAUCCAUGGGUUCAGAGCCAAAGAAGAAUGGUAACAAAUCAAGUCUUAAAGUUGCAAGUAAUGUUAAUGAUUUUGGGCAAAAUGAUAACAGACACGGUGGUUUAGCAAAUGGGACCAAGCCAAGAAAGCUUGUCAAUGGUUCGCGAAAGAGAAGUGAAGCUGCAGGUGAUAGAGAUAGAAAUGGUGGAUCAUCUACUGGAAUUUUUAAGGCGGAAAAUUGUACUGAUCGUGGUGACCUUUCUAGGUCCAGAGAAACAAUGAAAGCUGGGAAGAAAAGGAAAAAUGCAUUUGAUGUUAAAUUGGAUUCUCCAGAUACUUUUAAAUCAGACAACAAUGAUAAUACCGGGGAAAAAGAUAGCAGUAUGAUAAAAGUCAAAACAAGUCUUGUGGUAAAAAAUGAGUUGCCUGAGUUCUCGGUUGAUUCCAAGGAUGCCGAUGGUAAAAGUUCUAGUUUGCGGAAGAAGAUGCAACUUCAUUCAACCUAUACAUUAGGGGCAAAUGAAUCUUUACAUGCUACCAAGAAGCUGAAGCGCAUGGAUACCAAAGAUGAUUCAACUUUGGGAUAUCCUUCAAAAGUUCUGAGAAGAGCUUCACCUGGUUCUACAGUUAUUGAAGAGAGACUAUUUAAAAAGUCAGAAUUGAAGAAGUCUACACCAAAUUUGAAAACAGAAAAAAGCUUGUCAUCAAGGGGUAAAAUUAGUGGUGCAGUUUCUGAUGAUUCUGUCCAUGAGCUGCUAGCAGUGACUAGACAUCAUAUCCAGGUUCAAAAAGUUACGCCUGAUUCUUCAGUCAUUGCAUCUGAGGAAAAGAAAGAAAGGAAUUAUCUUAGACUGAAAGGUGAUACAAGUAAUGUUAUGAUAAAAAAAGAAGAGAGGAAACGUAGAGCUGUUUGUCUUUUUGAUGAUGAUGAUGACGAACCUAAAACUCCUGUUCAUGGAGGAGCUGGAAAAAAUGUUAAAUCAUCUUCUGUUUCUGAUGCCAAGAAGAGCAACAAUGCACACUCAGAGAAGUCAGAUGUUGUUCCGCUUGCUCAAGGAAGUUCUAGUGAGCGUGAGGAUACCCAUUUGAAAGAGCCAUCAUCUCAAUUAUAUAACGACAGUUUGUCAAUCAAGCAGCCUCUAAAAGAGAAAGAUAGAGAGAAAGAUGACGAAGUUAUUCCUGUGCAUAUUCCUCAUAGUCCUGAAAAUUUAGAUUUGAAGCAGCUUCCCUCCAAUGCAGCAAAAUUGAGCUCUACCUCCCCACUAAAAUCACCUCAAUUGGUACCUGCAAGUAAGCCAAGUGCUGAGCGGAUUAAAGCUUCAAAGCUGUCACUUAAAGUUUCCAAUAAUGCUACUACUCAUAAGAGGGUUGAUCAUGGGCUUUCAAAGUAUUCACAUAACCUGAGCUCUUCUCAGAAUCAAGUUGCUACACAUAAAAAGAAGCCUUCAUUGUCGGCAGAAAUUUCUAAAACUACACCUGAGACAUUGCCUCAGGCAGUUGAAGUUCCUGUUUCAACAAUUGGUUUUAAGGAUACUGAUGCUCUACAUGUUGAUAGAUUGGAGGUAAGCACAGAAGGGAAAGGUACUAUGAAGCAUCUUAUUGCUGCUGCCCUGGCGAAAAGGAAACAGGCUCAUUCACAGUUUCCUCCCUCUGGCUUUCCCAGUGUUCAGGGGGGAACUCCUAGCCCGUCUACAGUUCAGCCAUUUCUGUCUGUCUCGAGCAAUUUUCUGCAUGCAGACAUGCAAGGAGUUUAUGAGCACACAUCAUUGGCUUCUCCACCAGCUAAAGAACAUCCUUCUGCUUCUCAUAAUCAACUUGAUGCUGAUGAAAUUGAGGAUAGAAGAGUUGAUUCAGGGCAAAGGGGUCCAGGUGGCUCACUGAGUGGUGGUACUGAGGCUGCUGUUGCUCGGGAUGCAUUUGAAGGAAUGAUUGAAACAUUGUCAAGGACCAAGGAAAGUAUUGGUCGCGCAACUCGACUUGCCAUUGACUGUGCCAAGUAUGGCAUUGCUAACGAGGUUGUUGAACUUCUCAUACGAAAGCUGGAAAAUGAAACUAGUUUUCAUCGCAAAGUGGAUUUGUUUUUUCUUGUUGAUUCUAUCACCCAGUGCUCACAUAAUCAAAAAGGCAUUGCAGGAGCAUCCUACAUUCCCAUUGUUCAGGCAGCAUUGCCACGUCUUCUUGGUGCUGCUGCUCCCCCUGGAGCUAGUGCCCGUGAAAAUCGUCGUCAGUGUCUCAAGGUUUUGAAGCUGUGGCUUGAGAGGAAAAUUUUUCCUGAAUCAGUUCUUCGUGGUUAUGUGGAUGAUAUUGGAAUUUCAAAUGAUGAUAUUACAGUUAGCUUUUCUCUUAGACGUCCAUCUCGGGCAGAACGAGCUGUGGAUGACCCUAUUAGAGAAAUGGAAGGCAUGCUUGUUGAUGAGUAUGGAAGUAAUGCAACAUUUCAGCUGCCUGGCUUUUUAUCCUCACAUGCAUUUGAAGAAGAUGAAGACGAAUAUGAAGAUGAUAUACCAAUCAAAUUGUGUAAGGAUACAUUUGAUGCAUCUCCAGCAGAUCCCACCCAUGCCCUUGGAGAAUCAGAAACCUCUACUGUUACCCCAAAUGACAAGCGCCAUUGUAUCUUAAAGGAUGUGGAUCGUGAGCUGGAAAUGGAAGAUGUUUCAGGUCAUCCCAAGGAUGAAAAGCCAACAUUUUUUAACAGUUCUGAUGAAAUUGAUUUGCAACUUCAGGUGUCAGAUAGCAAUUUGGAUCUGACUCCAAGCAUUUCAAACGAAAUGUCAGCUACUCCUGAGGGUUCUCCUCCUUUGCCACUUGAUUCACCUCCUCCACCCCCACCUUUGCCUUCAUCACCACCGCCCCCUCCUCCUCCAUUAUCACCAUCUCCUCCCCCACCCCCACCACCCCCAAUGUUGCAACCCCCACCUCCUCCUUUACCACCAUCAGCCCCUCCAGUGUCCUUGGUGCCUCAAUUGUCGGGACCAGCUCGGCCACUUCUGUCCCAACCAUUAAUGCCAUCUCAGUCAUCACAUCAGUCAUCCCCACAGUUGGGGUAUCAGCAGAGUGUACCUCAUGACUUUAGUGGCACUAAUAAUGGUAACCAAAUAGUUCCAAUGGCUGGGAAUUCAUUUCCUGGAGGUCACAAUAAUGCAGCUGUCAAGAAUGAAAUAUUUCCACAGCCUCCUGCUUAUGCUCCAACAGCAGGUUGCAGCUCCCAGGAACCUUCUGGUUUUAACCCUUCAAGGCAAUUAGAGUACGGACAGAAUGAUAUGUAUCUAAAUGCUCAAGUUCCUCAACCUAACCAUCAAUUUCAGCAGGGCAAUCCCCCAUAUGCACAAAGGUACACACAUCCUGCCCCACCCCAAAAUCCACCAAAUCCGUACCCAUAUUCAAAUCCUACAGUUCAGCAACAUCUUCCACAUUCAUUCCAUCCUCCCUUCCCUCUACCAUCUCUUCCUGAUGGCAGGAGACAAUUUGUUGCUGAUGAGCAAUGGCGAAUGCCAUCGAGUGAAUAUAAAACAAACAAUCAACAUAGUGUAUGGAGAGGGAGAAAUCCAUCAUGUCCUGGUCCACCCUAUGGGCAAGAAGGUCAUUUUCAGCCACCAUUUGAAAGGACACCAGUAACCACUGUAGGUUUUCAGCGGCCAAUUUCAAGCAACCUACCUGUUGCUCCAAUCUCAGGACACGUUGUACCUCAGAUGAUGCCUUGUAGGCCGGACAUUCCUUCUGUUAAUUGUUGGAGACCCACUUGAAGUUGAAUGGAGUCUUCUUAUUAGUUUUAGUGGUGUUGCUGGUGGAUCAACAUGAAAGGUUAAAUUGUGCCACAAAGUUAGAUUCGCCUGUGUAGUACAUACAACUUACCCAUGAAGAAAUUUUGAAAACUUGAGGAGGCUUUUGACAGGAUUGUGUAUAUUGUAAUUUUUCCUGACAAUGUAUCCCAGGAACAUUUGCUUCCAAGUUUAGCCCAUGUUUUUCACUUGCGAUUUCAGGUUUUGUUAAUGCCAAAGAAGAUGGUGAUCAUUUUUUCAUGUUUUGAAUGUGAUAACUGAACAAAGAUUACAGUGAAACUUCUCAUAAAGAUGCUGAUUAUUGAGUGUCUACAGAAAGUUGCAAGUCCAAGGGGACGGUCUCAAAUUCUCAAAUUCGCCGCACAGAAAAGAGGGUGUUUAGGCAUGUUUCAUAGCCGCAAUGUCUUAAAAGAUUCAAGCAACCCAAAUUUGAGGGCAAAACCUGUAUUUGGGAGCUAGGAAACCAUUACAAGAAGAGUUGUGGACCUUCAUCAAAAAAGAUUUACGGUAAAAAUAUCUACAUUUAAACUAUGGUAAGGUGCAAUUUUUUUAUUCAAUUUUACUCACUCUUCUAAUGAUUUGUCAUAUCUAUUUAACUUCCUAUUUUAGAAAUUAUUUACUUCCUAUUUACCAAACAUUGUUUAAUCGCGUGUACUAAUUUUAAUUUUUAGUCUUAACGCUGACACACAUUGUUAUAUUUAAUCGUUAUUGUUUGGUAAUUCUAACGUUUUAGCAUAGCUAACGAAAAAAGUUAGAAGCAUCAAAUAAAAAUCCAAAAAAAGUAACUCUUGCGGAUUUGUUCAUUUAUUUAUAUCCUGCUUCGGAACGAUUUCGUAAGAUUAUUGCAACUAUGUAAUCUUCUGCUUGUAGAACAAGCAAAACAAAUCGGGUGGAAAAUUUCCUGAACUUAUCUGCUUACCCAUUUUUAAGAUAACAUUAAUUGUGCCAUGCUAGAGCAUUUUAAAGGAAGUUUCUUAUUAAUAAGCUUUAUUUUACUGUGAAUCUUACAUACACGAUAUCAUUAGAAUUGAAGAGACUUGUUUAUAAUUUUUUUUUAAGUUUUAUGAAGCUCGUAUUUGUAGAACCUAGAUUAAAAUAACGUUUUCAUUGAUAAGAAACUUCCAUUGCAAAUGUUCUAAGAGAUUAGUAAAUGUAAUAUUAAUAUAUUUCUCUAACAUUUUUUACCUCAACCCAUUGCUGUGAAAGCCAAAGGUCUGAGAACCUUAGAAAGGGCAACAGAACUGGUUUGAUCACUAACUACAUAUACUAAUCAAAUGCAGUUGUAAUCCUUUUGCUAGCCAUCAAAGAUAAGUUUUGCAAUGGCCGCAGCUGAAAAUGGUAUGUAAAACUGGUUUUAAACUGCACAUUGAGGUUGGCCCAACCGAUGAUUUUGGCAUGACGAGUUUCAUAAUUUGCUUCCAUUAUACUAAAUAGCACUGUGCUUAAACCACCUGUUUGGAAUAAGAUGACAACGCUAAUCGGCUAGAAGAUUUCUGCCUCUGAGCUAGGCCAUUAGCCGAUCUUGUAGAAAACCCACCAUUGCUACUACUAUCCUGCUUCAAGAGCAACUCUGGAAUACGCUGAAGAUUAACUUCAGAUUUAUGAUUCCUCCUGAUAAGUGUAGCAUUCCUUUUAUCAAGGUUACUUUUCCUAUGUGCUACACCUGCCAUAAUAUCAGACCUCUCAUGACUAUCAGUGGCCAAACUAAGAGCAUUUCGGUGGUGACCAAGAGUUUUGCCGGACAUUGGUGAGUUUUUGUAGAACGAACCAUUUUCUGAAUAUUUAAGAGACCUUUUUUCGUACUCUACCAUGCUAAAGAUUUCAGAUGCGCAUUUCUUCAUUUUGGGUUUAGCUCCGUAAUGACCUGGCAAAGAGCGACGGACUGAGGAGAGCUUAUGCUCGGAGGACUUCCUUCUCAGCGGCUGGAAUGAUUCAAACAGUUCAUAGCUUGUAUUAUCAGCUGGACCAUUCUCUGUGUCAUCUUGUCUGCAGGAAUAACAAUGUUUAUGCUCAUCACUGAAUUAAAUGUUCAUUAGAAGUAAUAUUCUAUAUUGUAUUUAAUUGAAAUAGGAAAUUUAUAUUUGUAACCUGUAAGCAUUUACCUGGAGUAAGAUAUCAUCCAAAUUGCCCAAAA